GAUGAACGCUGGCGGCGUGCCUAAUACAUGCAAGUCGAACGCAUUGUGGUUGAAAUGAUAUGAAGAACUUGUUCAGAUUUGAUUUUCAACAUUGCAAUGAGUGGCGAACGGGUGAGUAACACGUGGGAAACCUACCUCUUAGCAGGGGAUAACAUUUGGAAACAAAUGCUAAUACCGUAUAAUAAUUAAAACCGCAUGGUUUUAGUUUAAAAAGAUGGUCUUGCUAUCACUAAGAGAUGGUCCCGCGGUGUAUUAGUUAGUUGGUGAGGUAAUGGCUCACCAAGACAAUGAUACAUAGCCGAGUUGAGAGACUGACCGGCCACAAUGGGACUGAGACACGGCCCAUACUCCUACGGGAGGCAGCAGUAGGGAAUCUUCCACAAUGGACGAAAGUCUGAUGGAGCAACGCCGCGUGUGUGAUGAAGGGUUUCGGCUCGUAAAACACUAGUUGUAAGAGAAGAAUGACAUUGAGAGUAACUGUUCAAUGUGUGACGGUAU
rnacentral:rRNA from 1 species